CAGUCCGUGGUGUCUGUAUGUUCUCAUGAUAAACUGACUCUUGUUGUUGAUAGUUCCAGGUCAGUGGUGUCUGUAUGUUCUCAUGAUAAACUGACUCUUGUUGUUGAUAGUUCCAGUCCGUGGUGUCUGUAUGUUCUCAUGAUAAACUAACUCUUGUUGAUAGUUCCAGUCAGUGGUGUCUGUAUGUUCUCAUGAUAAACUAACUCUUGUUGUUGAUAGUUCCAGGUCAGUGGUGUCUGUAUGUUCUCAUGAUAAACCAACUCUUGUUGAUAGUUCCAGGUCAGUGGUGUCUGUAUGUUCUCAUGAUAAACUAACUCUUGUUGUUGAUAGUUCCAGGUCAGUGGUGUCUGUAUGUUCUCAUGAUAAACUAACUCUUGUUGUUGAUAGUUCCAGUCCGUGGUGUCUGUAUGUUCUCAUGAUAAACUAACUCUUGUUGAUAGUUCCAGUCCGUGGUGUCUGUAUGUUCUCAUGAUAAACUAACUCUAACUCUGUUGAUGAAGGUCAAGGCUGCAGCGUCUAAAGAGAAGUACAUGA